AACGAACGCUGGCGGCAUGCCUAACACAUGCAAGUCGAACGAGACCUUCGGGUCUAGUGGCGCACGGGUGCGUAACGCGUGGGAACCUGCCCUUAGGUUCGGAAUAACUCCCCGAAAGGGGUGCUAAUACCGGAUAACGUCUUCGGACCAAAGAUUUAUCGCCUUUGGAUGGGCCCGCGUUGGAUUAGCUUGUUGGUAGGGUAAAAGCCUACCAAGGCGACGAUCCAUAGCUGGUCUGAGAGGAUGGUCAGCCACACUGGGACUGAGACACGGCCCAGACUCCUACGGGAGGCAGCAGUGGGGAAUAUUGGACAAUGGGCGAAAGCCUGAUCCAGCAAUGCCGCGUGAGUGAUGAAGGCCUUAGGGUUGUAAAGCUCUUUUACCCGGGAUGAUAAUGACGGUACCGGGAGAAUAAGCUCCGGCUAACUCCGUG
rnacentral:rRNA from 1 species